GAAGCUGACUAGGCAGUCGCCGUCUUUUUCUUAUCAUAAAAAAGAAAAGGAAGGAGGAAAGUCCGGGCUCCAUAGGGUAUGGGUGCCAGGUAACACCUGGGUAGCGUAAGCUAACGACCAGUGCAACAGAAAGUAUACCGCCAAUAUUCUAUGAAAUUAGAAUUUUCAGGUAAGGGUGAAAAGGUGUGGUAAGAGCACACCGCGCAUCUGGUAACAGAUAGCGGCACGGUAAACUCCACCCGGAGCAAAGCUAAAUAGGAGUUCGCUAAUACGACCCGUACAGAACUCGGGUAAGCUGCUUGAACUAGUAAGCGAUUACUAGUCUAGAUGAAUGACUGCCCUCGACAGAACCCGGCUUAUCAGUCAGCUUCAUAA
rnacentral:RNase_P_RNA from 1 species